ACCUGACUAAAAAUAGUGGAUGGAGGCGUAAUUUAAUAAUUAUGAUAGGAUGGAUGUUUCAGUGCAGAUAUGGUAGCACUUUAGACUUCUAGUCCACAAAAUACAAAAACUACAUAGAAAUGUAAAAGUAACAGACUCAGAUUAAAGCAAAACUGACAAACAAGCCUCCAACAAAACACAGAUAUCAACGGGCAGCAACAAAGCACUGAUCAUCAACGGGCAGCAGGAACUGCAGCUCCAAGAGCACCGGCUGGGCGUGGUGGUCCUUGACCAGGCGGCCCACCUGCAGGCCUUGGGGUAUCCUCCCUGCGUCUGAACCGCUGUGGCGGUUCACGGUUCCUCCUGUCAGUGCGGGAACGAACCCUCACAACAUGAGAGUGGAUCGCGCAGGAGACACAGUGCUGAAUCUUCGCAUACAGCUUCGGAAGAGUGUAUCCGUCAUAAACGCAAGCCUCCUGAACGUCCCUCACAGCGGCCUGCUCGACGAUGUUCCUCACCAGAAACCUCUUGAUCGCCUUAUCCUUGGGGCAACACUUGCCGCAGUUGGAGCAGCGGAUG
rnacentral:misc_RNA from 1 species